CAGAGUUGCAAAACUCCCAACCCUUUGUGAACGUACUGAAAAGUUGCUUCGGCGGGAGGCUCCUCAGGGAGCGGACCGCCGGAGGAAUCCAAACUCUUGUAUAUUGGAAUCUCUGAGUAGCUUAUAAUAAGUAA
rnacentral:misc_RNA from 1 species